AACGGACGCUGGCGGCAUGCCUAACACAUGCAAGUCGAACGAUGCCUUCGGGCAUAGUGGCGCACGGGUGCGUAACGCGUGGGAAUCUGCCCUUGGCUUCGGAAUAACAGUUAGAAAUGACUGCUAAUACCGGAUGAUGUCCCCCUGAGAGAUCUUGGGGACCAAAGAUUUAUCGGCCAGGGAUGAGCCCGCGUAGGAUUAGGUAGUUGGUGGGGUAAAGGCCUACCAAGCCGACGAUCCUUAGCUGGUCUGAGAGGAUGAUCAGCCACACUGGGACUGAGACACGGCCCAGACUCCUACGGGAGGCAGCAGUGGGGAAUAUUGGACAAUGGGGGGAACCCUGAUCCAGCAAUGCCGCGUGAGUGAUGAAGGCCUUAGGGUUGUAAAGCUCUUUUACCAGGGAUGAUAAUGACAGUACCUGGAGAAUAAGCUCCGGCUAACUCCGUG
rnacentral:rRNA from 1 species